GGCCAUAUGGUGGAGUGAUUAUCAGCUCCAAAUAUAAAUAUAUGUUGAUGGUCCCAGGUCCAAAUCCUGGUGUGGCCA